CGCGUAGGUGGUUUGUUAAGUUGGAUGUGAAAUCCCCGGGCUCAACCUGGGAACUGCAUUCAAAAACUGACAAGCUAGAGUAUGGUAGAGGGUGGUGGAAUUUCCUGUGUAGCGGUGAAAUGCGUAGAUAUAGGAAGGAACACCAGUGGCGAAGGCGACCACCUGGACUGAUACUGACACUGAGGUGCGAAAGCGUGGGGAGCAAACA
rnacentral:rRNA from 1 species